GCCAGUGUGGUGUAGUGGUUUGAGUGUAGGACUAUGCUUCUGUAGACCAGGGUUCAAAUCCCUACUCAGUCA